UACGGAGGAUGCAAGCGUUAUCCGGAAUGAUUGGGCGUAAAGCGUUUUAAGGUGGCUUGGUAAGUCUACUGUUAAAUAUCAGGGCUUAACCCUGAACAGGCAGUGGAAACUAGCAAGCUGGAGUACGGUAGGGGCAGAGGGAAUUCCCGGUGUAGCGGUGAAAUGCGUAGAUAUCGGGAAGAACACCGAAGGCGAAAGCACUCUGCUGGGUCGAAACUGACACUGAUAGACGAAAGCUAGGGGAGCAAAUGGG
rnacentral:rRNA from 1 species